CGGAAAUGGUGACAACCGACCACAAAGUGCUUCCAAAAACAUUACAAGAAACACGGGGAAUAUUGAAAUUCAAGAAAUAUGUGAGGGGAAAAUUGUUCUGGGAUACGGGGAAUCUGUUGUUGUCUACACCGACAAUGACCGCCAGAAGAAGAAAUGCAAAAACAAGAUUAAAACUCCUAAAGGCACCGAGAUCGGUUUCUUCUGUC